AUUUCUUAUUUCUCUUCUCGCCGAAACCGAGCGCCCGAGCCCAUUUCUCCCCGACGCCGUCGCGCCCACUCUCUGCCCUAACCGUCGGCCGGCGGUUCCCCCUCUCCGAGAGCACAAAACGUCGGCCACUUCUUCUUCCUCUCCUCCUCUCCUCUGCCGGAGCCCUAGCACCGCCGCCCGACCGCCUGCCCGAGCCAAACUCCUCUUCUCUGCUUGCCCUAGCCACCCGACGCCGGUGCCCCUGCCGUCGGUGACGCCCAGAGCAGCGCCGGUCAUCUUUCUCCUUUCUCCCAAGUCCGACUUCAUCUGUGCCCUAGUACAUCUGCCGGCCAAUUUCUCCUUUGUUCUAGUAUCGGCGAUUGUACCUCCUUCCCUCUCUUGGCGGACGACUAGAGUCGUCGUAAAACAGGAGCUUAAGAAGGAGGCUGAGGGAAACAGUAGUCCGGCAAUGGGAUUGAAGCUUCGGACAUAACUUCCAGCAGCAAGAUCUGUGGUUGUGAGUUGGCAGGAAGAUACUUAGAGUGAGUGAAGAAUUUCAGCAGCCAACAACCCUUGACGGCAGUAACUUCAGCCAACAACUUUUGGAUUUCAGUAUAAACCAGUGGCUUUGAAUCAAGGUAAGAAGUAGAGUAAUGGUUACGUGUUGAUGAGUUGGAUUCAUGUAUUGGAUUAGGAAAAUAUUGGAUUAAUUCAUGUUUAGGUAUAAUCUUGAUACCUAUCGAUAAUUUAUUCAUCAUUAGGUUGUGUAGAAUAAUUAUGUUAUAUGGAUUUAGGUUUUUGGAUUUUUAUCAAAAAGGUUGUUUGGGGUUAAGGUAAUUAAUCCUAAUUAAUCGUUAGAAAGGUCGAAGGAAAUGGUUUAGGGUUUAUCCCUAAAUUUCUAUUUAGGAUUUAUUUAGCUGUUUAUUUGUAUUCUAGUUAAAUAAAAGUAAAGGUAUUUUUGGUAUUUCAGGACUUUGACGCGAGACGAGUA